UACGUAGGUAGCGAGCGUUGUUCGGAGUUACUGGGCGUAAAGGGUGUGUAGGCGGUUGUUUAAGUUUGGUGUGAAAUCUCCCGACUCAACUGGGAGGGUGCGCCGAAUACUGAAUGACUUCGAGUGCGGGAGAGGAGAGUGGAAUUCCUGGUGUAGCGGUGAAAUGCGUAGAUAUCAGGAGGAACACCGGUGGUGUAGACGGCUCUCUGGACCGUAACUGACGCUGAGACACGAAAGCGUGGGUAGCAAACAGG
rnacentral:rRNA from 1 species